rnacentral:rRNA from 1 species
UCCUAGGCUAGAAUGUGAGAUGACCGCUUCUGAAAGGGAGCUUUCCUUCGGGACACGAAACAAGGUGCUGCAUGGUUGUCGUCAGCUCGUGCCGUGAGGUGUUGGGUUAAGUCCCGCAACGAGCGCAACCCUUAUCGUUAGUUACCAGCACGUUAUGGUGGGGACUCUAGCGAGACUGCCGGCGUAAGCCGCGAGGAAGGUGGGGAUGACGUCAAAUCAUCAUGGCCUUUAUGCCUAGGGCGACACACGUGCUACAAUGGCCGGAACAGCGGGAAGCGAAACUGUGAAGUGGAGCCAAUCCCCUAAAUCCGGUCUCAGUUCGGAUUGGAGUCUGCAACUCGACUCCAUGAAGGUGGAAUCGCUAGUAAUCGCGCAUCAGCCAUGGCGCGGUGAAUACGUUCCCGGACCUUGUACACACCGCCCGUCAAGCCAUGGAAGCUGGGGGUACCUGAAGAUGGUGACUUUACGGGGAGCUAUCUAAGGUAAAACUAAUAACUGGGGCUAAGUCGUAACAG